rnacentral:rRNA from 1 species
UACGAAGGGGGCGAGCGUUGUUCGGAAUCACUGGGCGUAAAGGGCGCGUAGGCGGCCUCUCUUGUCGCGUGUGAAAGCCCCGGGCUCAACCUGGGAAUGGCAUGGGAAACUGGCGAACUGGAGUGUGGCAGAGGGGGGUGGAAUUCCGCGUGUAGCAGUGAAAUGCGUAGAGAUGCGGAGGAACACCGAUGGCGAAGGCAGCCCCCUGGGCUGACACUGACGCUCAGGCACGAAAGCGUGGGGAGCAAACAGG